rnacentral:rRNA from 1 species
UACGAAGGGGGCUAGCGUUGCUCGGAAUCACUGGGCGUAAAGGGUGCGUAGGCGGAAUGAUAAGUCAGUGGUGAAAUCUCGGAGCUUAACUCCGAAACUGCCAUUGAUACUGUCAAUCUUGAGUACAUUUGAUGUGGGCGGAAUGUGUCAUGUAGCGGUGAAAUGCUUAGAUAUGACACAGAACACCGAUUGCGAAGGCAGCUCACAAAACUGUAACUGACGCUGAGGCACGAAAGCGUGGGGUAUCAAACAGG